rnacentral:rRNA from 1 species
UACGUAGGUGGCAAGCGUUGUCCGGAUUUACUGGGCGUAAAGAGCGCGCAGGCGGUCGUUCAAGUCGCGUGUGAAAGCCCCCGGCUCAACUGGGGAGGGUCACGCGAUACUGAUCGACUCGAAGGCAGGAGAGGGUAGUGGAAUUCCCGGUGUAGUGGUGAAAUGCGUAGAUAUCGGGAGGAACACCAGUGGCGAAGGCGGCUCACUGGGCAGACACUGACGCUGAGACGCGAAAGCAUGGGGAGCAAACAGGG